UAUUGCUACAGUAGUUGCAGAAUAGUGUCGUUAACAUAUUUUUCUAAGCAAAACAUAUUUCAAAAAGUCAAGAGUAAAAAGAGCAAAAAGGUUUUAGCAGAGAAACAUAGGAUGAGCAAUUAAGCAGGAACUUCACCAGAAAUAAAAUUGAACCAAAACAAAAGAUGUUUUUAUAUUCAAACAAUCCUAAUUUAUUUUCUUGAAUAUAAAUAACAAGUAGCAGAAAGUAUGAGGGGGAGAUUUUUCAUUUUCAAAUUUCAAAACAGAGAGAAUUUGAAGAAAAACUGAAAUAUUUUUUUUUUCUUCAAACCACCAAACCAAAGAAAUUUCCAAGUAAAUCUGAUAUAAUAUUUUCUCUAUCAGUCAGAAACUCAAAUUUAUCUCCCAGAUUUAAGUCCAAACACAAAAAUUUAUUAAGCAAAUAUAGAAAUAUUCAAACUCUAAAUAUUGCAGCAAUAUUUUUUAACAACACGAACAUAAACCAACAAAUACAGAGAGAGGAAGAUCCAAACAGAAAACAAGAUUUAGAGGGCGAAAAUUUCUUACCUGAAUCUAGGUAACGAGAAAUGAGUUGAGUAGAAGCUUAUGCUUGGAGUCUAGAGUAGUUUCUUAUGGGUCAUGCUCUGAUAGAUGUAACAUCGGGAGGGAAUGUUUUAAUUAAUUUGAUAUUUGUGGUUGAAUGAUUUACAUGUAUUGUGUUACAUGUUUUACAUUGAUGUUGGAUUUUAUUCCGCUGCGAAUUAUGCAAAAGACCUUAUUUUGAUUAAAUAAAUGAGCAUGACAGGAAUGUUUGAGGAUUUU